CUGGCUUGAAUCCUGCUUCUGCUACUUAUUGAUUCCUGUGUGCUCAUGUUUCCUGUGUAAACCAAUCAGAAGGCACCUUGGCAAAGACAGAUCUUUACAGCAUACAAAAAGAUUAUUCCACAACAGUGGAUGCUAUUCCUGUUAUUUGGAAUGGGCUUCUGGUUAUUCAAUGGACUUCUCUGUGUUCAAGAUUCACCACGCACAGCUCUGCCCUCACCUGAAAGCCACUGUAGGUUCCUAAUUGUAUAGGAAAGUUUUGGACAAGAUUUAGAUGCUGUAUAAGGAAUACUAAACUAAUAAAAUUUUCUUCCUUCCUCCCUUU
rnacentral:lncRNA from 1 species